rnacentral:rRNA from 1 species
GUGGGGAAUUUUGGACAAUGGGGGAAACCCUGAUCCAGCGACGCCGCGUGAAGGAUGAAGGCCUUCGGGUUGUAAACUUCUUUUGGAGGGGACGAAUAAAUUGACGGUACCCUCAGAAAAAGCCACGGCUAACUACGUGCCAGCAGCCGCGGUAAUACGUAGGUGGCGAGCGUUACUCGGAAUUACUAGGCGUAAAGCGUAUGUAGGCGGUUGUAUAAGUCUAUGGUGAAAUUUCCUGGCUCAACUGGGAAGGGACAUAGAUACUGUAUGGCUUGAGUGUUGGAGGGGGAGACGGAAUUCCUGGUGUAGCGGUGAAAUGCGUAGAUAUCAGGAGGAACACCGAUGGCGAAAGCAGUCUCCUGGCCAAAUACUGACGCUGAGGUACGAAAGCUAGGGUAGCGAACGGGAUUAGAUACCCGUGUAGUCC